rnacentral:lncRNA from 10 species
AUAAGUGCCCCUAGUGUUUUCCCAGGCCUCACCAAGGCUGUAGGUACAAAUGGUAGAGUUGCCAUCAUGUUCCAGCCACUCUUGGUCCCCAUCUGCAUGUGCCGGUAAUGUCAGAAACUGGUAUGCCGGCGGGACGCAGUGGCUCACACCUGUAAUCCCAACACUCUGGGAGGCCGAAGCGGGUGAAUCACGAGGUCAGGAGUUCAAGAGCAGCCUGGCCAAGAUGGCGAA